GUGUCAGCAGCCGCGGUAAUACGUAGGUGGCAAGCGUUAUCCGGAAUUAUUGGGCGUAAAGCGCGCGUAGGCGGUUUUUUAAGUCUGAUGUGAAAGCCCACGGCUCAACCGUGGAGGGUCAUUGGAAACUGGAAAACUUGAGUGCAGAAGAGGAAAGUGGAAUUCCAUGUGUAGCGGUGAAAUGCGCAGAGAUAUGGAGGAACACCAGUGGCGAAGGCGACUUUCUGGUCUGUAACUGACGCUGAUGUGCGAAAGCGUGGGGAUCAAACAGGAUUAGAAACCCCCGUAGUCC
rnacentral:rRNA from 1 species